UUACUCCAAGUCAUCUUUGGACAUCUUCCGGGACCACACUUCAGGCCGAGCUGGAAAUUGUCCUCUUUACCAUAUCUAUUUUUUUAUGACUGUACAUAUUUACAUACAUUACACAUAUGGCCAGGGAGAGCGAAAGAUGACGUGAGGCUCUCGCUGGAGAAUAGGAGGUGGAGGGUGAAGAGACCAGUCGGAAUUCAGUCUGGGUGCGUGGGGGAAGAGUUGGAAGCCAGAGAGCAAAGCAGCUUCCCGUCCCCGCUACUCUCCACCCGGGAGCUCUCGGGGAGACCCCUCAGCAGUAUCUGAUCGACUCUUCGCCAGAGCGCUACCAGCACUCGCCUGCGCCUCGGAAGCCGGCACCCAGGAGCACGCUGCUCCGAAGCUCCGUAGCGGGCGCGCCCCCUCCCCGGGGCGGCUCUGCUGCGGGCC
rnacentral:lncRNA from 1 species